UACGUAGGGUGCGAGCGUUGCCCGGAUUUAUUGGGCGUAAAGGGCGCGUAGGCGGCUCUGCACGUCCGUUGUGAAAUCGCCCGGCUCAACUGGGCGGGGUCAGCGGAUACGGCAGAGCUCGAGCAAGCUAGGGGGCAAUGGAAUUCCCGGUGUAGUGGUGGAAUGCGUAGAUAUCGGGAGGAACACCAGUGGCGAAGGCGGCCAACUGGUCCGGUACUGACGCUGAGGUGCGAAAGCGUGGGGAGCAAACAGGGAUU
rnacentral:rRNA from 1 species